AUUGAACGCUGGCGGCAGGCCUAACACAUGCAAGUCGUACGAGUGGCGGACGGGUGAGUAAUGUCUGGGAAACUGCCUGAUGGAGGGGGAUAACUACUGGAAACGGUAGCUAAUACCGCAUACCAUCAGAUGUGCCCAGUUGGGAUUAGCUAGUUGGUGGGGUAACGGCGCACCAAGGCGACGAUCCCUAGCUGGUCUGAGAGGAUGACCAUACACACUGGAACGGAGACACGUUCCAGACUCCUACGGGAGGCAGCAGUGGGGAAUAGUGCACAAUGGGCGCAAGCCUGAUGCAGCCAUGCCGCGUGGAUGAAGAAGGCCUUCGGGUUGUAAAGUACUUUCAGCGGGGAGGCGUUACCCGCAGAAGAAGCACCGGCUAACUCCGGGUCAGCAGCCGCAGUAAUUC
rnacentral:rRNA from 1 species